rnacentral:rRNA from 1 species
CUUGGUGGGAAAUAGCACUUAUUCCUGCUUCUCUUAUAAGAAUUCAAUCCCUGAAUUCAAUGUACCUAGAAAAGAUGUGGAUAUUUUUCUUUCAUCUUAGCCUCACUCUCCCAAUAGGCUUCCUCAAUGGCAUGAUUCCUCCAGACACUUUAACCAUAGAGAUAGUCUUGGUACGUAAAACAUUCUCUUUUCUGUCCCAAAGGUUGCUCUUCAUAAGACAAAUCCUCUUUAAUUUUGACUCUUUCUUAGUUCCAUGGUUUUUUUUUUUUCCUCAAGUGAAAGUUGAGGGGAUUCUACCCCCAAAUCUAACCCCAUAGUAGGGAUUGGAAUGUGACUAGACUAGAUCCUUUUGAAGUAUAGCGUAGAUGUCACUAGCGCUUCCUUAGGUCGAUUGACAAAAUGAAAUAAGAGAUGCCUUCAUUUGCUUAGGGAAUCUCUGUGUGUGUGUGUGUGUGUAUAUAUAUAAGAUUAGCACAGAGGAUUAAAAUUAGGCAAACCUGUCCUAAAUCCACUGCAGGGUUGAGACUCUGUCCACAAUCAUAGAUAAUAUCGGUUUGCAAAAUUGUGGUUUCUCCUGUCAAAAGAUUUACCUCCACCUGUGACAGCAUAGUUUCCUUAUUAGAUUUCAACUGAUAUUUCUAUUUUCACUGUAGUAUGACUUGUAAUGCAAUAAGGUGUUAAAGGUAAACUUGCCUGACUCAUUGCAGCACCGUAGUUUCGAUAUUGCAUGGAAGUAAGGUCAGGGACAAAGUAAGAACUUGCUGAUAAGUUCACAGACUGAAUGUGGGCCUACAUUUUCAUAGAUUUGAGUCAGAUGGAAAAGAUGCAAUGUAUCAAAUCAAGAAAUUUCAAAAGAAAAAUGUCAGUAAAUUUCCUGCCUCAUAGGGGUUUCAUAUAAACCAUUCUUAAUAGGACAUGCACCUACAUCAUAAAAUUACACCUUUUCUUUGUGGGAAAUUUAUAUAUGCCUAGGCACCACAUUUAAUCCAAAAUAACUGAAGGUUAUUUGUUGAGUUGCCUUUUAAAUAAUUACUAAUUUUAUUAAAAUCAAGAUUGAUUGCAGCUCAGAAUCUUAUGGGAUUGGUUAAUAAAUCAAGGAAUUGAUUGCUAGAGAAAACCAUGGGAUUGAAGCAAUCAGUAUUCAAUUCAAAUUCAAAUUAUCAAUGACUUGGUGUGUAAUCCCAUAUAAUAUGGAUCCAUGUAAUGAUAUUAAGAAUAUUGGAAUCAGAAAUUAUCCAUGUGUUCCGUGCCUGGAAGUGAAUGGAUAAGGUGGGGUGGACGAAGCGUAACGCGUAGAACAUUGUCAGGCUUUGCAGUAACGCAAACCUUGGUGAGAAUCCAAUGCCCGAAAACCUAAGGCUUCCUCCGCAAGGUUCGUCACGGAGUGAGUCAGGGCUAAGAUCAGGCCGAAAGCGUAGUCGAUGGACAACAGUGUAAUAUGCCGUACUGCCCCCUUGUUGGUCCCGAGGGACGGAGGAGGCUAGUUAGCCCGAAUAUUGGUUAUCGGUUCAAGGACGCAAGGUGCCCCUGCUUUUUUCAGGUAAGAGGGCGUAGAGAAAAUUGCCUCGAGCCAAUGUUCGAGUUACCAGGCGCUACGGCGCUGAAGUUAACCAUGCCAUACUCCAGGGAAAAGCGUCGAACGGACCUUCAACAAAAGUAGAGGUACUGUACACCGAAACCGACACAAAGGUGGGCUUUAGCGUAGAGAAUACCUAGCGGGCGCUGAGACAAACUCUCUCCUAAGCGAACUCGGUCAAAAAGCCCCGUAACUUCGGAAGAAGGGUGCCUCUCUCACCAAAGGGUUUUCUCUCUCUCGGUCGCAGUGGACAGGCCCUGGACGGACUGGUGUUACCAAAAACAAGUGUCUCCGCAAAGUCGUAUUAGACCAUGUAUGGGGGCUGACGCCUGCACACAGUGCCGGAAGGUCAAGAAGUAUUUUCUGCGUUGACCUGAAAUGGAGCAGGGGAGCCGGCGACGAAGCCCCGGUAACGCGGCCGUAACUAUAACCGUCCUAACCUGGAGCAAAUAUUCUCUUGUCGGUGUCGUUUCCUGACUCCGCCACGAUAAUGCGUAACCGAUCUUGUCUCUCACUUGUCUCGGAGAGAGACUCGGUGAAAUAGACAUGUCUGUAGAAGUAUUUUGCGGUACUACCUGCACCUGUACGAAAUGUACCCUUAUGUAAGCCUUCACUCCACAUGGGAUUGGCUUUUGGCCUUUCCUGCGAGCUAGGUAGAGGCGAAGAAGGCCUCCUUCGGGGCCCGACCGUCAGAGUAGGAUACCACUUCUGGAGAGCUAGAAUUCUAAACUUUGUGUCAGAACCUACGGCAAAGGGACAGUCUCAGGUAGACAGUUUCUAUGGGCGUAGGCCUUCCCAAAAGGUAACGGAGGCGGCAAAGUUUCCUCGGGUCAGACGAGAAUUGGCCCUCGAGUGCAAAGGCAGAAGAGCUUACUGCAGACACACCCGUCGAACAGGACGAAAGUCGGCCUUAUUAGGACUCCGACAGGUGCCAGUGGAAGAGGGCCGUCGCUCAAGCGGAUAAAAGUUACUUUCUAAGGGAUAUUAACAGAGCUGAUUCUUCCCCAAGAGCUCCCAUCGACGGGAAGGUUUGCGACCUCGAUGUCGGGCUCUUCGCCAACCCUGGGGCCUGUAGGUAAUGGUUUCCAAGGGGUCGGAGCUGUUCGGCCAUUAAAGCGGUACGUGAAGCUGAGGUUCCAGAACGUCGUGAGACAGUUCGCUGGUUUCCAUAGUCCGGUAGUGGGACGUCCUCACAUCGUUUUAGAGCAUUUAGGAGCAGCGACCUUUCCCUAGUACGCGAGAGACCGGUAAAGACGCAACCAUCUGGUCCGUACAGUUAUCUGUGCCCACUGGUAAACGUGCUGGGUAGCAAGUGCGAAGCGUAUAAAACUGCUGAAAACAGCAUCUAAAUAGUAAGCCCACCCCAAGGAUGUAGAGUGUCUCUGCAUAUCCUCGACUUCCCUCCAGAGCCUCCGGUAGCCACAGCACCGUAGUCCGACAAGCCGAAUGGGUUCUCUACCCUGUCGGGGAUGCGUGACGCAGCAAGUUUUGAGUAAUUCAAAGGUAGAGGACGGCGAGACGAUGUCCUUUAUCAAUUAACGAAGGAUGAUCAAGUGGAAAGUGCAGUGAUGUAUGCUCUGAGCAUCCUAACAGCACCGGUAUACGUG